rnacentral:misc_RNA from 1 species
AACGCACCUUGCGGCCGCUGGAACUCCAGCGGCCAUGCCUGUCCGAGCGCCGCCUAAGACCCUCGAGGCGCCCCCUGUGGGGCGCCCGGCGUUGGGCGUCCACCGCUGCGGUGGGCCCCUAAAGAGAUCGGCGGGCGCCGCGACGCUGACGCGCAGAGUACCACUGCUGGCGCAGCCGGCGCGCAGCGCUCCCCCAGAGCCCUAGGCACACGCUGACGGCCUCGGAUCAGGCAGGACUACCCGCUGAACUUAA